CUGCUUUGUGUGGAACGCCCGCCCGCCAGCCAUCCUUGUGUGGGGCUCCCACCAGCCAGCAAGUCAACCAGCAAGGAGGCCGUGACCUGCGGAAACCGCCACAGCACAAGCCCCCAAGGAAGCAGUGAGCCCAGCAGGUGCCAGGUCGGCAUCCAGCGACGGGACUCCCUCUGUGCAUCCUUGGUGCAGCCCAGGGGUUCCUGCAGGACCAGCCACAGCAAGGAGCAGUGUUGCAAUGGAUGGUGUGAGGCCAGGCAGCAGCAGCAGCAGCAGGAGGAGGAGGAUAAACAGCCAGGAGCAGAGGGCAACCCCAGGCGUGAGGACCUACACUUGUGACCACUGCGGGAAAGUGUGCUCCACCAAGGCUGCCAUUGCCAGACACGUCCUCUCCCAUGCCGGCAAGACAAGGCUGAGAGGCAAGAGUGGCCCCACUGAACACACUGGCGGCAGGACCUACACUUCUGACCACUGCGGGGAGACAUUUCCAAACAAGAAUGGUGUUGCCUCACACAUCCUGACCCACACUGGGGAGAGAAAGUUCCAGUGCCUGGAGUGUGGGAAAAGAUUUACCCAGAAAGGUGAUCUUAACAAACACAUCCUGACCCACACUGGGGAGAGAAAGUUCCAGUGCCUGGAGUGUGAGAAAAGAUUUACCCAAAAAAGUAAUCUUAACCAACACAUCCUGACCCACACUGGGGAGAGAAAGUUCCAGUGCCUGGAGUGUGGGAAAAGAUUUACUCAGAAAGGUGAUCUUGACAGACACAUCCUGACCCACACUGGGGAGAGAAAGUUCCAGUGCCUGGAGUGUGGGAAAAGAUUUACCCAGAAAGGUGAUCUUGACAGACACAUCCUGACCCACACUGGGGAGAGAAAGUUCCAGUGCCUGGAGUGUGGGAAAAGAUUUACCCAGAAAGGUGAUCUUAACAGACACAUCCUGACCCACACUGGGGAGAGAAAGUUCCAGUGCCUGGAGUGUGGGAAAAGAUUUACCCGGAAAGGUACCCUUGACACACACAUCCUGACCCACACUGGGGAGAGAAAGUUCCAGUGCCUGAAGUGUGGGAAAAAAUUUAACCGGAAAGGUACCCUUGACACACACAUCCUGAUCCACAUUGGGGAGAGAAAGUUCCAGUGCCUGGAGUGUGAGAAAAGAUUUACCCGGAAAGAUUGUCUUGACAGACACAUCCUGACCCACACUGGGGAGAGAAAGUUCCAGUGCCUGGAGUGUGGGAAAAGAUUUAUCUGGAAAGGUACCCUUGACACACACAUCCUGACCCACACUGGGGAGAGAAAGUUCCAGUGCCUGGAGUGUGAGAAAAGAUUUACCCAGAAAGGUACCCUUGACAUACACAUCCUGACCCACACUGGGGAGAGAAAGUUCCAGUGCCUGGAGUGUGGGAAAAGAUUUACCCGGAAAGGUGCCCUUGACAGACACAUCCUGACCCACACUGGGGAGAGAAAGUUCCAGUGCCUGGAGUGUGGGAAAAGAUUUACCCAGAAAGGUGAUCUUAACAGACACAUCCUGACCCACACUGGGGAGAGAAAGUUCCAGUGCCUGGAGUGUGGGAAAAGAUUUACUGGGAAAGGUGAUCUUAACAGGCACAUCCUGACCCACACUGGGGAGAGAAAGUUCCAGUGCCUGGAGUGUGGGAAAAGAUUUACCCACAAAAGUAAUCUUAACACACACAUCCUGACCCACACUGGGGAGAGAAAGUUCCAGUGCCUGGAGUGUGGAAAAAGAUUUACCCUGAAAGGUUGUCUUGACAGACACAUCCUAACCCACACUGGGGAGAGAAAGUUCCAGUGCCUGGAUUGUGGGAAAAGAUUUACCCUGAAAAGUUGUCUUGACAAACACAUCCCGACCCACACUGGGGAGAGAAAGUUCCAGUGCCUGGAGUGUGGGAAAAGAUUUACCCACAAAAGUAAUCUUAACCAACACAUCCUGACCCACACUGGGGAGAGAAAGUUCCAGUGCCUGGAGUGUGGGAAAAGAUUUACCCACAAAAGUAAUCUUAAACAACACAUCCUGACCCACACUGGGGAGAGAAAGUUCCAGUGCCUGGAGUGUGGAAAAAGAUUUACCCUGAAAGGUGGUCUUGACAGGCACAUCCUGACCCACACUGGGGAGAGAAAGUUCCAGUGCCUGGAGUGUGGGAAAAGAUUUACCCAGAAAGGUGACCUUGACAGGCACAUCCUGACCCACACUGGGGAGAGAAAGUUCCAGUGCCUGGAGUGUGGGAAAAGAUUUACCCUGAAAGGUACCCUUGACACACACAUCCUGACCCACACUGGGGAGAGAAAUUCCAGUGGAGUGUGGGAAAAGAUUUACUCAGAAAGGUGACUUUGACAGACACAUCCUGACCCACACUGGGGAGAGAAAGUUCCAGUGCCUGGAGUGUGGGAAAAGAUUUACCCAGAAAGGUGACCUUGACAGGCACAUCCUGACCCACACUGGG
rnacentral:misc_RNA from 1 species